GAUGAACGCUGGCGGCGUGCUUAACACAUGCAAGUCGAACGAGAAAUGUAGACGGAAACCUUCGGGCGGAAGCCUUCAUUUCGAGUGGCGGACGGGUGAGUAACGCGUGGGUAACCUGCCUCAUACAGGGGGAUAACAGUUGGAAACGACGGUUAAUACCGCAUAAGACCACAGCAUCGCAUGAUGCGGGGGUAAAAACUCCGGUGGUAUGAGAUGGACCCGCGUUCGAUUAGCCAGUUGGCGGGGUAACGGCCCACCAAAGCGACGAUCGAUAGCCGAUCUGAGAGGAUGACCGGCCACAUUGGGACUGAGACACGGCCCAAACUCCUACGGGAGGCAGCAGUGGGGAAUAUUGCACAAUGGGGGAAACCCUGAUGCAGCGACGCCGCGUGAGUGAAGAAGUACUUCGGUAUGUAAAGCUCUAUCAGCAGGGAAGAAAAUGACGGUACCUGAGUAAGAAGCCCCGGCUAACUACGUG
rnacentral:rRNA from 1 species